rnacentral:lncRNA from 1 species
AGUCCCUUCUUUGUCAAGCCAGGACCCGCCCACGGUCUAUUCAUAGGGUCCCAAACCACUUUGGCCACAACACCCCCAGACUGGUCCGAAGCCUCGUGAGUUCGCCCUGGUCGUUGCACUCCAGCCUGUCGCUGUGCAGACCUGGCUUAGAGGACCCCUAAGGCUGAGGGGUCACUUCCAGAACUGAGUCCGGUCCGCAGGUUCUGCUACGCUCCAGCCAGCCCCUAACUGGUCCCCAGAAGCGGCGCUGCUACAGGGACCAGGAGCUGCUGCGAACUGCGCUGGCGGGGGCUCGUCCUUGGGCGCGGGGCUUCAUCAUGGACACGCUCUCGGCCCAGGCCGCGAAACAAGCCCGCGUGACUGGCGGAGGCACAGAGACCAAGGCCGCUUAACCUGGCUGGUUGCACUGGUCCCUGGAGAGAGGGCGUCCCCUGCAGGAGAGCUUCAUGCGCCUGGUGGAGGCCUGUGGGGACUCGGAGCAAAGCAUGGACAACUGGCUGAGUCGGCUGGACGGCUGCCGCUGACUGUAACAUGUAAAGCAGGCACUGAGCACCACCUGCCUGGCAGUCCAGGGCAUGGAGAGGUAAGGCCCCAUUGACAUAGAGAAUAGGGUGAGAUGGGCAGGGCUCUCAACCCCUGGAUGCAAAACUGUGAUUCAGUAAGCAAAUAUAGCCUAGAACUGGGUCCAUUCUAUUCCUGGCCUGGUACAUGGGGCUGAAGGCACAGACAGCACCCUGCUUGUGACUUCACUGGCCCAACUCAUCCUGGACCCCUUGAGCAAGACCAUGGCUGGAUUCCAGGAACUGGUGGAGUGGAAGUGGAUCCAGGAAAAUGCCGUGUGAAGGGAGGACUCAGAUGCACUCCCUGUGGUCUGGGCUCAACCAGCCAAAAGAGCAACAAAGACUCCAGAACCCACUCUACCUCCUCAAUCCCUUGGCCAUCUGUGGAGCCCCAGAGCCUGCGGCUGUGGCAAGGCCUGUUUCUGCGCUGGACCUGCUCACCUGAGCCUGCAGAAGCUGCAUGGGGGAAGAGUGUGGCAAAUAGUGACAGGAAGGGAGAAGACAGAAGCCUCUCAGCCAACUGCUUCAGCCGAGCCCCUAUUCUAAGCACUGGCUCCUUGGAUAGCAGCUGAGAUGUUCCUGAAACCUCUGCAGGCCCCUUAGGACCUUUACACCUUGGAUGAGGGUGCCUGCAACCCAGGUUAGCCAAAAGUACUGAGGGUCUUAAGUUUGAAGUGUCCAAAGUAUAGGGAGGUCUCAAUAAUAAAAGUCUCCAUGAUCAGCA